AAACUAACAAGGAUUCCCCUAGUAGCGGCGAGCGAAGCGGGAAGAGCUCAAAUUUAUAAUCUGGCACCUUCGGUGUCCGAGUUGUAAUCUCUAGAAAUGUUUUCCGCGUUGGACCGCACACAAUUCUGUUGGAAUACAGCGGCAUAGUGGUGAGACCCCCGUAUAUGGUGCGGACGCCCAGCGGCUUUGUGAUACAUUUUCGAAGAGUCGAGUUUGUUUGGGAAUGCAGCUCAAAUUGGGUGGUAAAUUCCAUCUAAAGCUAAAUAUUGGCGAGAGACCGAUAGCGAACAAGUACCGUGAGGGAAAGAUGAAAAGCACUUUGGAAAGAGAGUUAACAGUACGUGAAAUUGUUGGAAGGGAAACGCUUGAAGUCAGACUUGCUUGCCGAGCAAUCGGUUUGCAGGCCAGCAUCAGUUUUCCGGGAUGGAUAAUGGUAGAGAGAAGGUAGCAGUUUCGGCUGUGUUAUAGCUCUCUGCUGGAUACAUCUUGGGGGACUGAGGAACGCAGUGUGCCUUUGGCGGGGGUUUCGACCUCUUCACACUUAGGAUGCUGGUGGAAUGGCUUUAAACGAC
rnacentral:rRNA from 1 species